rnacentral:rRNA from 1 species
GGUUAAGCGACUAAGCGUACACGGUGGAUGCCCUGGCAGUCAGAGGCGAUGAAGGGCGUGCUAAUCUGCGAUAAGCGCCGGUAAGGUGAUAUGAACCGUUAUAACCGGCGAUACCCGAAUGGGGAAACCCAGUGUGACUCGUCACACUAUCAUUAACUGAAUCCAUAGGUUAAUGAGGCGAACCGGGGGAACUGAAACAUCUAAG